rnacentral:rRNA from 1 species
UACGAAGGGGGCGAGCGUUGUUCGGAUUUACUGGGCGUAAAGGGCGCGCAGGCGGCUCAUUUUGUCAGGCGUGAAAGCCCCGGGCUUAACCUGGGAACUGCGUUUGAUACGGAUGGGCUAGAGUUCGGGAGAGGAGCGUGGAAUUCCCAGUGUAGAGGUGAAAUUCGUAGAUAUUGGGAAGAACACCGGUGGCGAAGGCGGCGCUCUGGACCGAGACUGACGCUGAGGCGCGAAAGCGUGGGGAGCGAACAGG